rnacentral:pre_miRNA from 1 species
UGACCUCGAAAUGCGUGCAAUUCGGGCUGCUUACAACUCGGAAUGCGUGAAAAUUCGAUUGUGAGUUGAAUUUUGGGGGUAAAGGAUCGCGUCGAGUAAGCGGUUCUCGCCAGUCGCCAUGGAGGACAGUUUAUUCGACGCGAUUCUUUACCCCCAAAAUUCAACUCACAAUCGAAUUUUCACGCAUUCCGAGUUGCAAGCACCCCGAAUUGCACGCAUUUCGAGGUCA